rnacentral:rRNA from 1 species
CGGUGUUCAACUGGCGUGUCCGCGGGACGUCCUGCCGGUGGGCUUAGCCCGCAAGGGCGGCCCAACUUCAAAUCCCAUCGCGGUGCUCUUCACUGAGUGUCGAGGUGGGCCGGCACGUUUACUUUGAACAAAUUAGAGUGCUUAAAGCAGGCUAAAACUUCGCCUGAAUACUGUGUGCAUGGAAUAAUGGAAUAGGACCUCGGUUCUAUUUUGUUGGUUUUCGGAACCCCGAGGUAAUGAUUAAUAGGAACGGAUGGGGGCAUUCGUAUUGCGACGUUAGAGGUGAAAUUCUUGGAUCGUCGCAAGACGGACAGAAGCGAAAGCAUUUGCCAAAAACGCUUUCAUUGAUCAAGAACGAAAGUUAGAGGUUCGAAGGCGAUCAGAUACCGCCCUAGUUCUAACCAUAAACGAUGCCAGCUAGCGAUCCGUCGACGUUCCUCCGAUGACUCGACGGGCAGCUUCCGGGAAACCAAAGCUUUUGGGUUCCGGGGGAAGUAUGGUUGCAAAGCUGAAACUUAAAGGAAUUGACGGAAGGGCACCACCAGGAGUGGAGCCUGCGGCUUAAUUUGACUCAACACGGGAAACCUCACCAGGCCCGGACACCGGAAGGAUUGACAGAUUGAGAGCUCUUUCUUGAUUCGGUGGGUGGUGGUGCAUGGCCGUUCUUAGUUGGUGGAGCGAUUUGUCUGGUUAAUUCCGAUAACGAACGAGACUCUAGCCUGCUAACUAGACGUAUUUUCGACAUCUCAAAGGUCCGUCGUCCCGGCCCUCGGGUCGUGGGCGUGCGCGAUUUUUACUGUCGGCGUACUAUCAAUUCUUCUUAGAGGGACAGGUGGCUUCUAGCCGCACGAGAUUGAGCAAUAACAGGUCUGUGAUG